CUCAGCUUUCAUUUUUUUUUUAAAGAAAUUCAAAAAAUAAAUACCAUUUUGUGGCUUUUUUUUGUGUGUUGUGACAGAUCUCUGUAGCGCCUCAGUUCAAGCAGCACACGAACCGAUCAUCUCUUACUCUUUACUAGUUAUAUCACAAAAUAAACAUGAAUGAACAUCAGAAGGUAUCUUGAUUCAACUACGGAAAGAUGUCAAUACACACCAUUUUUCAUAUUUAAGUCCACCAACAUUAAUCUACUCUCCUGUCUGGUUUGUUUGUCAGACAAAAUGGCAGAUUCGCCGUUAUGAUUGGUCAGAUCGCAUGUCAAUCAAUCCCCCGGCAAAGGGUCAAUUGCAAUGACAGAAAAUGGAAAUUUAAAAUGUAACACAAGACGAAAGAUUUCUCUGUCAUCUCUCUUCAGAAGCCUGAGAGAAUGGGACGUGUCUCCUCCCUCUCCCGUCCACAGCAAAGUCUCAGAAGUGUCACAGGAUCCCCAGAUGGACCACUUCCCCUGCUGUACCGAACUGAAGGAUCCUGAUAUCAUCAAUGCUGAGCCACAGUUGUCCUCAUUGACUGUCAUUCACAAGCAAGAUGUGCAAGAAUCAUUUAGAAGAAAGAGAAAGAGCCGCUUUCUUCUCGCUCUCUGUUGGAGGUGGGGUCCCUUCAUGAACUGUGCUGAGACCUGUCAUAGGCCUCGUACACGACUGAAUUUUGGCUGAUCUCCAAACUCAAGCAUGUAGUGACAGUCAGAAAAUCUUCUGAUGUACCUUUACGGGCCUCCAUUCAACUCAUUUUGCA
ensembl:lncRNA